GACGAACGCUGGCGGCGUGCCUAAUACAUGCAAGUAGGACGCAGUUGCGAACGGGUGAGUAACGCGUAGGUCACUACCUCGUCGAGGGGGAUAACUAUUGGAAACGAUAGCUAAUACCGCAUACUAGUAGAUGGACCUGCGUUGGAUUAGCUAGUAGGUAGGGUAAUGGCCUAACUAGGCAACGAUACAUAGCCGACCUGAGAGGGUGAUCGGCCAAACUGGGACUGGUACCCGGCCCAGACUCCUACGGGAGGAAGCAGUAGGGAAUCUUCGGAAAUGGGGGGAACCCUGACCGAGCAACGCCGCGGGAGUGAAGAAGGGUUUCGGAUCGUAAAGCUCUGUUGUUAAGGAAGCGGUACUUAACCAGAAAGGGACGGAUAACUACGUGCCAGCCGCCGCGGUAAUUC
rnacentral:rRNA from 1 species